rnacentral:lncRNA from 1 species
CCGACUGGGCAAUGUGCAGGAGUGCUUUCAUGGCGAAAGAAGCUGCCUCGACAUCAACCGUGCAAGUCCGAGACACUGCCCGUGCCAUGCACUUGCCAAGGCCAAAGGAAUACAACGGAGCUCGAGACGCUGUAAUCAUAGACUACUACCUUUGGCACAUGGAGUGCUACUUCGAGGCGCUCAACUUAACAGGGUUGGCCCAGGUACAUACUGCCACUCUACAUUUCACCGACAUGGCUGCANNNN